rnacentral:rRNA from 1 species
AGAGUUUGAUCCUGGCUCAGAGCGAACGCUGGCGGCGUGCUUAACACAUGCAAGUCGAACGCGCAGCAUUCUGUAGCAAUACAGAGUGUGGGCGCGUGGCGAACGGGUGCGUAACACGUGGAUAACCUUCCUUGAGGUGGGGAAUAACCCAGUGAAAAUUGGGCUAAUACCGCAUAACAUCGCGAUGGCACAUGCUGAUGCGAUCAAAGGCGCAAGUCGCCACAAGAGGGAUCCGCGGCCGAUUAGCUUGUUGGCGAGGUAAUGGCUCACCAAGGCAAUGAUCGGUAGCCGGACUGAGAGGUUGGCCGGCCACACUGGAACUGAGACACGGUCCAGACUCCUACGGGAGGCAGCAGUGGGGAAUCUUGCACAAUGGACGAAAGUCUGAUGCAGCAACGCCGCGUGGGGGAUGAAGCUUCUCGGAGUGUAAACCCCUUUCGACCCGGAAGAAUGCCCGCAAGGGUAUGACGGUACGGGUAUAAGAAGCCCCGGCUAACUACGUGCCAGCAGCCGCGGUAAUACGUAGGGGGCCAGCGUUGCUCGGAAUUACUGGGCGUAAAGGGUCCGUAGGCGGUGUAGCAAGUCGAUAGUGAAAUCUCUGGGCUUAACCCAGAGGCUGCUAACGAAACUGCUGUGCUAGAGUGUGAGAGAGGCGAGUGGAAUUACGGGUGUAGCGGUGAAAUGCGUAGAUAUCCGUAGGAACAUCCGAGGCGAAGGCGGCUCGCUGGAUCACAACUGACGCUGAGGGACGAAAGCUAGGGGAGCAAACAGGAUUAGAUACCCCGGUAGUCC